AAAUAUAGUGCAUCCCUCUGCAAACAGUACAACUCUCCGCCAUCGCCGUCACCUUUCUUCUUCUUCACUUUUUCUUUCUUGGAAGUUAAGAUGGAAACAUCUACCCAGAUGGAAGCAUAUAAACUCCCUGGGAGGCUCAUUCCCCACAUAAUUUCUACUAGUGAGCACAUUUAUAGGAUUCCAGAGUUAGAAAUGGAACAGGACACUGAGGCUGAGCAGUACACUGAGGAUGAGGAUGAGGAUGAUGAUGGGGAAUGAGGAUGAGGAUGAGGAUGAGGGGGAUGAGGAGGAGGGGGAGGUUACCCGUAGGAGUAGGUAUUGUCUGCUUGACAAUAAUCAUUCUGGAGACUUCCUUAUUCAAGAUGCACGCAUUUGUUCUACAUAAGUCUGAGGACCUUGCAUCGUUGUGGUUUACUGUUGAAAAAGAAUUAGAAGGUCUUAUAUCUGCACUUUCACCAUUCAAGUUCUUGCAAGAGAUUACACGGAAACUGGAACUGGAGACGGUUAUAAGUGUUUGUGCCUGGACAGAGUAGUGCCCUUCUCGAAGAUGAAACCCUGGUUUGAGUUUAACUGCUUUGAGCUAAAGAAACUAGAAGCUGAAGGGUUUUUAGUUAAUGAAAUAUUAACUGGAUUUAUAACGUUAUGUAUUGAUACACAUAUGCUCAAGAAGGUGUCAGGUCUUGGCAGUUACUUGUCAGUAGCUUCUAGGUCCUUCUUAAUAGAUCAUCAUGGCGAUCUAGUGGCUUAUAAAAUGACAAGUGUUUGCCGUGGUUGUAUAGAGAACUAUAAUAAAGCAUUGCACCGCUGGAAUCUUCUAAAUAAUGAUUCAGACAAGGAUAUAGUAAAGAUGAUGACGAAGGAUAAAGUUCUGAAGAAAAAAGUUGUCAAACAACAAACACAUGACGUUCUUCUAGAUGAUACAUGUCCUUCUUAUCCCCUGAUAAUGCAGUUGCUCUAUUUCGGGGAUACGUAUGUAGAAACACAUGAAGCCUGUGGAAACCCUUACGUUGAAAGUUUGGACAUCGUACCCAUCAUUUCUUUGUCAUCCAAAGACGAACAGAAAUUUAUAUCUUUGAAAUUUGAAUUUGGAUUUGGAAGACCUAUGGACCAGAAAAUAAAAAGAUACAAGGAAUGGCUUGACAUGGCACCUGUUUCUGAGAAGGGCAAGAAUUCAAUGAUCGUCUUCUGGCUACUGGAUGGUGCGCCAUCCAGUUGCUCUGUUUGUCACAUUUUGUGAGUUGGGGAGUGUAGCUUUGGAUGCAAUAGAUGAGGUAUCAAAGGCGGAAAAAAGAAAUAGAGUCAAGGAAGCUAAAAAACACAAGGUGAGCGCUGGUGUUGUGCAGGCUAACAAAUUAACUCAGAGUCCAACAGAUAGUCAGGGCAUGUCAAGUCAGAGCACGUCAAGUCAGGGCAUGUCAAGUCAGAGCACGUCAAGUCAGAGCCCAAUGGUGCAAAACCCUACCGUCACCCCUAUUCAGCCCCAACAGAAGAUGAAGGGUAUUCAGCCCCAAAAGAAGAUUAAUGGUAGGGUGCCGUGGAUUCAACCACCUGCUAAAGGAAUCAGCCGUAUCGAUACUGAUGGAUCGUUCGUUGUUAAGGCAAAUAAAGAAUGUACAGCUGGAUUUGGCUGUAUUAUCCGACAAUUUGAAACAGUUCAGAAUGUUGAAACAGUUCAGAAUGUUCAAGUGGAAGUGGCAGUUGCUGGUGGUGCCACACCAUAUUCGUCACUUGCUUCUGAACUCGAAGGUAUAUAUUGGGGAUUCAGGAAACGAAAGACCUCGGUCUUCAGAACGUUGUAUUGGGCACGGAUUGUCUGCCAGCGCUUCAUCAUGUGGACAACGGACUAGUGGUGCAUAAACUAAUAGGUCGGUACCUCAGAGUGUCAAACAAACUGAAGAAAUUGAUCAAUAGAAUUAUCGAAUGUCAGUCGCAUUUUGCGCAUUGCGAGUUGAUUCAAUUAUACAGAGGUGCGAAUGAGGUUGCCAAUUUAUUGGCGCAUAUCCAUACCAAUCCAACAAGUCUAACAGUAUACGGCCAAGGCUAUUUUGAUCAAGCUGACAACAAGCUAGAUGAGAUGGAGCUUAAGAUCAAAAGAUUUAUUAAAUCUGACGCUGCUGGUAAACAUUAUCUCCCCCAUGGAGAACCAUAGCUCUGCGUAAUUAAAAUACUCAAGCCUGUCAGGAAUAACAAGGUAUGUUUAUAUUAGGAGGAGAUAGAAGAUUUAACAUGGAUUAGAAGUAGAAGAAAAGAAAUGAAGUCAUAGAUAAGACCAAUUGACCAAGGACAGGGGAUUUCAACUUUUUGUAUUUCCCUGUUUGUUUGAUUUUUUGUAUGAAAUACAGAAGUAACAGGAACCUUUACUUAAAUACCAACAAAAAGAUUUUAAAUGUGAAUCCAUUAAUAAUCGGUCAUUAGUCACUCAUCAGCGUUUUUUUGUGGGCACUAUUUUGAGGACGGUUCUCUUAAAAUCUCUUUUCAUCUCAGUAUUCUCAAUAUCUGUUACCAGCUUCACUGCCUUCUUGGUUGCAUCUUUGUUGUCAUCUUUGACA